CGGCGGCGGCAGCAGCAGUGACAUGUCCAACAUGAAUCCCGAAUAUGAUUAUUUAUUCAAGUUACUUCUGAUUGGCGAUUCUGGAGUUGGAAAGUCUUGCCUCCUCCUUAGGUUUGCAGAUGAUACAUACACGGAAAGCUAUAUCAGCACAAUUGGUGUGGAUUUCAAGAUACGAACUAUAGAGUUAGACGGGAAAACAAACUUCAGAUAUGGGACACAGCAGGCCAGGAGCGAUUUCGAACAAUCACCUCCAGUUACUACAGAGGAGCCAUGUUGUGUAUGAUGUGACAGAUCAGGAGUCCUUCAAUAAUGUUCAACAGUGGCUGCAGGAGAUAGAUCGCUAUGCCAGUGAAAAUGUCAACACGUUGUUGGUAGGGAACAAAUGUGACCUGACCACAAAGAAAGUAGUAGACUACACAACAGCAAAGGAAUUUGCCGAUUUUCUUGGAAUUCCAUUUUUGGAAACCAGUGCUAAGAAUGCAACAAAGGUAGAACAGUCUUUCAUGACGAUGGCAGCUGAGAUUAAAAAGCAAAUGGGCCCUGGAGCAGCAGCUGGUGGUGUAGAGAAGUCCAAUGGUAAAAUCCAGAGCACUCCAGUCAAGCAGUCAGGUGGAGGUUGCCGCUAAAAUUUGCCUCCGUCCUUUUCUCACAGCAAUGAAUUCGCAAUCUGAACCCAAGUGAAAAACAAAAUUGCCUGAAUUGUACUGUAUGUUGCUGCACCACAACAGAUUCUUACCGUUUCCACAAGGUCAGAGAUUGUAAAUGGUCAAUACUGACUUUUUUUUUAUUCCCUUGACUCAAGACAGCUAACUUCAUUUUCAGAACUGUUUUAAACCUUUGUGUGCUGGUUCAUAAAAUAAUGUGUGUAAUCCUUGUUGCUUUCCUGAUACCAGAUUGUUUCCCAUGGUUGGUUAGAAUUUAUUUUGUUUUGAUGUUUAUAUUGGCAUGUUUUAGAUGUUGGGUUUAGUCUUCUGAAGAUGAAGUUCAGCCAUUUUGUAUCAAAUAGCACAA